AGCCAUAUUGAAAAUUCUAACACCUCCCCUUUCCUGAUCACAAGUUCUAAAUGGCUAGAAUGUGUAGAAUGGAUGGAUAAGGAAGAAGCCUUAAUGAAUUCUCACUUUGAUCAAUUUCAAAUGGUGAGUUCUUGACUCCCUUUGAAGAUGGGAUUCAUCCAACUAUAGAAGAGGACAUAAGUGAGACCAAUCCAAGAGGAACUCUGAACAUUCAGAUUGGAGACGAAGAUAACAUUAAUAAGCAUGGAAUUUAUUUCAUAGCCACUUUGUUUACUCCAUGCUCAUAUGCAACAUCUUCCCAAUCUAUUGGUCUCUCCAACAUCACCACAUUUGAGAUCUCCAACCCCCUCUUCUUUUCUAUUUAUAAAAACUUUAAAAGGGCGGUUGUCGAUGCAUAUGUCAAUAAUAAAUAUUGCAGAUCUCGUUGAGUUGAUCUUGAUUUAGGUCAGCGUUGGAAGGGAAACCACUUCGCCGACAUAAAUUGAUGGUUUCCCAAGGACAAGCUUAGUGUCCUAAAAUAAGCACUGA
rnacentral:lncRNA from 1 species